rnacentral:rRNA from 1 species
UACGAAGGGUGCAAACGUUGCUCGGAAUCAUUGGGCGUAAAGCGCACGUAGGCGGAUUGUUAAGUCAGGGGUGAAAUCCCGGAGCUCAACUCCGGAACUGCCUUUGAUACUGGCGAUCUUGAGUCCGGGAGAGGUGAGUGGAACUGCGAGUGUAGAGGUGAAAUUCGUAGAUAUUCGCAAGAACACCAGUGGCGAAGGCGGCUCACUGGCCCGGUACUGACGCUGAGGUGCGAAAGCGUGGGUAGCAAACAGG